CACAUAUUCAAAAGAUGUAUCCUACUAAAAGUUUCAGAAAUAAUUUUCAUUGAUAUAUAAUAUUAAUCACUUUUGAAAUGAUUCAUUUAAAUAUUUUCUUGCAUCUGAAAUGAACUUGCCCCACUUUAGCUUUAUUGUUGCCUCAGAAGAUAUGGUUGAACAAAAUUGAAUUCCUUGAUUAAAACUCAGAAACCUGUAUCCACUUGUUUGUCCUGAAGAAUCAUCACUAUACUGCCACAUAAUUUAUUUUUAUGUUUAAUGUAUUCUGCUUUUUCUAUCAAUCACUAGGUAUUUUUAGUGCUUUUCCAUAUCACAGUAUUUCUUUUUGUAAAUUAGAGUUAAAUUAUUUAGUUUCGAGAUACUUAUUUUCCACAUUUAGAGACAUUUUGCCCUUUAUCUCAAGUAAGCUGUUUGAUUCUUAAAAACUAGAAGUAAUACUGUACUUUACUCACUUUAUUUACCCAUACAUAGGAUGUUUAUUAGCUCCCCUUGUACCUUAAGUAACUAUAUGCCUCUUAUCCCAGGUACCUUUCCUUAAAGACCCCUUUUAUACUUUGAAUUUUUCAAAAUAGUGACUCCAUGACAAUCUCAAGGUGAUCAUUAUGUGAUACAUUCUGCUACACUGAGAAUAAUGAGAAAAAUGAAAUAGUGUAAUGCAAAUGGAGGUAGCAGUAGAAUCAAAAUUAUUCACACACAAUUCUAUUGUAAACAUUAUAGGAAAAGAAAGAGUAAAACUGGAAAAGAAUCUUGUGUUAUUUAUUUGUGGAUUCACUCAAGACUUGCUAAUAGGAGAAGUAGUAAAUACGUUAAUGCAAAGAAAUCUGGGAAAACAGUCCAGACAGGGCAAAAACUGCCACUCUUAGGCCAAAUCUGCCUACUCCCUACUUUUGUGAAUAGUUAUAUUGAAUCCCAGCAGCGACCAAUCAUUUAUGUAUUGGCUAUGGCUACUUUCAUGCUAUAAAGGUAGGGUUGAGUAGUUGCCACAGAAAUCAUAUCCUACAAAUCUGUAAAUAUUUACUAGCUGGUCCUUCACAGAAAAAGUUUGCCAACUCCAGGUCUAGGUUCAAAGUGGUCUUCCAUUGAUCUGUCCCCUCCAUCACUCUUUGUGUUUUAUACUUCCUUCUAAACCCUAUGGCAACGUAUAAAGAACAUAAGUUUGUAGCGUGUCUUUCAAGAAAUCUGGCAGCAUGUCAAGCAAGUAUUAAGGUUCUGAGACAGCCAAGUAAAAAGGGCUUCCUGGAGAGUCUCCAACCAGCCUGUGCACUGGGAGGAUGGGGUGAAGCCUUGGGAAGCUCCUGCUGUUCGCAGCAGGGAAGGAGCCUGGCCUCUCCUGUUCCUGGGGGGUAACCUGGGAUUCAGUUGGUGAGGUGCAGAGCCUGUUAGCAGGACCCCAUCUAGCUUUGCUGUGUUGUUUUUUCCUUUUCUCCCAACAAAUUCUAUCCUCCUCACCCUUCAAAGUGUCUGUGAGCCUAACCUUUUCCUGGUCCUGUGGCAAGAACCCGGUUUUUCGCUGAACUAAGGAGACAGUCCUACAACAUUUUCAGACACAUCUGUGGCCAAAGCCAGGGUUUCAUGCUAUCCUUUUCUGCCAUCCAGCAAACCUUCAAAUCUCAAUCAAUGUUUCUUCUCUUUUUAAAAUUACCUCCACCCACUCUUAUCUCUUGGAGUUUUCCCUCUCCCAGGAAUUGGAAAAAUUCUGCCCUCUUCAUCCCAUAUAUAUAUAUAUAUAUGUCUCCCAAAGACAAGUAUACGUAUCUGUUCACCAUAAGAAGAUUCCCAGACUACUUUCUUUACUCCAUAGCUUCGGCAAAGUAAAACAAAAUAAAGUGGAAGCUAAACAUCAGCACACAUGGACACAAAGAAGGGAACAAUAGACAUUAGGGCCUAUUUGAGGGUAAAAGUUUGAAGGAAGGGGAGAAUUGAAAAAAUACCUAUCAGGUAUUAUGCUGAUUCCUGGAUGACAAAAUUAUCUGUACACCAAACCCCCAUAACAAGAAGUGUACGCAUGUAACAAACCCUGCACACGUACCCCUGGAACUUAAACUGAAAGUUGAAAAGAAAAAAAUGAGGCCAUAAAAACUCCCUAUUUUAUUAAGCUUUUUCCAGACCUGAAAGUCUAUCAAGGUAGAACUAUUGAUGUUUGACUGCGUCAAGCAGGUAAAGAAUCUCUUAAACUGCAUAAUACCAUAUUCUGGGGAGCACAAGCCUAUCCAGUUUUAAGAUAAAAUAAAAAACAAACAAAAAACUUGUUCUCUCAUGAUACGCAUGAAAAACAACUUGAGAUCUUCUAGAAAAAUUGGAAAUCAUGACUGCUUUUUGUUUGUUUGUUUACUAACACUGUGGUAUCAAAACAAAAGUUUAGUCACCAGCAUUUCAGGAGAUUCAGACUGGUCUGGUAGGGCCUAUUCCCUCAAAAGCAAGAAUACCGUGAUGACAAGGGACAGACACUAGACUACUUAGAAAGAAUUUCAUAAUGAGAAGCAACCUGCAUGGGGUUACUGGCUUUUGGAAACAGCUGAGCUGGGAGAGAACACAAAAGUCUUAAGGCCUGGGCUGGGUGUAGUGGCUCAGGCCUGUAAUCCCAUUGCUCUAGGAUGCUUGAGGAAGGAAGAUCACUUGAGUCCAGAAGUUCAAGGCUGCAGUAAGCUAUGAUUGCAAUACUGCAAUCUGUCCUGAGCAACAAGACAGAAUAAGACCCUGUCAAAAAAAUAAUAAAAGAAAAAAGAAAAAAAAAAAAACCUGCAAGAUAGAAGAUAGCAAUCUAACACUUUCCUCUCUGUAAUCUUCAGUAAGCAAACAAACAAACAAAAAAGCAUUUCUUUCUCAUGGAAUCUGACAAGGCCCUUGCCCAUUUAGGAGGAGGGGCACAGACAAACACAGGAAGUUACAAACUUUGAGCUGCUCUAAACCCUCAAACAGAAGUAUGAGUAAAUGUGUCAAUAAGUUUUAGGUCAGAGAAAGGCCAUCUGUUGGAAUCCACUCACAAUUUUAUUAUUAUUUUUUAACUCAAAAGAACUAGAAAGUAUAGUUGUUGGACAACUGCAUGGGUGCAGGUUCUAUCAGACAGACAGAAAGCUUUCAGUUCCUUAGUCCAGUUACUUCCAACUGGGCAUAAUAAUCUUCCUCAAAUGAUUUUCCUUCAAAGUUGAUCAGUCUUGGAAUUAGUUGAUGAACCAGAUUGACUGCACAAACAUUUGUCUUAGGGUUCUUGUGGCUCUGAACCAUUGGGUAAGGAAAUAAAGAUUCAAGUACCUCAGCAGGAUUAUCUUAAUAACUGAUUAACUUAAUGCACUGAGCUAAAUUGUGACUUUGUUCAUUUCUUCAUAAAAUCUGUUUUUUUCUGUUCAGUUUUUGUUAAUGUCAAUUGUCCCUUGUCAAAUAAGAUUAGCCCAUGCUAUGUCUUAUACCUAAUUCUGUUUAAUUUUUCCUCCAUCUAAUUUCACCUUAUUUCCUAGUGUUUUAUUGUUUUAGUAGAUUCUUUUUUCAAGCACUUUUCCAUGGAAAUAAUUUUUCUUUGAUACCCCAUCAUUUUUUCUAUGACUGUGUAUUAUGAUCUUACAUAUAUUUCUUGGAAAUUGUGUUAUGUCUUCCAUUGGCACUUACUAACUUUUUUUAAAAUUUCAUAACCUUUCAGUCACAACCUCACCGAAGUGGUCAUCUGCCAAUAAGAACAUUAUUGCCAUAGUUGCAUUUUUUAAACCCAGAUUCUCACUAAUAAUAACAAAUGAAUAUUUUCUCAGGAAUCUUUUCAGGAGUCUUCUUUUCACAAGACUGUCUCAAAGAUAAAACAUUAUUUCUUUUCAUAAAUUGUAUUUAAGUUCAGGAUAACUAGGUAUGCCUAUAUAGCCCAAAAUUCUAAACCAGCAGUCCAUUUAAAAAUAAUUACAUAAUAUGUAAGAUAGCUACUUAUAAUACCUAUAUCUUAUAUAGGUAUUUUCUUAUUUUUGUUAUUUCAACUACAAUGCAUUUCCAUUUUUGAAAUAAUUAUCAAUAUACAUAUUUACAUGUAUAACGAUGGCUUUCAUUAAGGAAGUUGAAAAGGAGAGGAAUAUUUAUUGAAGUGAAUGUUGCAUAAUGGAAAAGUUCCGUGUCUUUAGAAUCAGAAAAUCAUGACUUUAAGUCCCUAAUUUGCUGAAUUCGGGUAACCUAGUUAGCUGUAAAAUGUAGUUCAUCUGAAAGAUAAGAUUGGGGAUAGAUAAUUUUCUCAUAGGGUUGUUGUGAGGAUUAGAUGAGAUAAUACUUGUGUAAUGAAGCCUUUGAAGCACUACAUGGCUGUCGCAACUAUGCCUGCUUUCUGAGGCUAAAGGCCUCAAGAUGCUCUUUAUGCAUCAAGCUGUUACUUUGAAUUAUGGGCAUCCAGUGAAACCAUCUCUGUUUCCUAGGACAAAAUAAACUGGGUAAAGGGAUUAGUGCCCAAACUACAGUCCCAUGGAAUAAUGGACUGUAAGAAUAAUCCAUAUGAUAUAACAUAUAUAGACCCAAUGAGAUGCACUUUUAAGAUUUAGAAUACUCAGAGCAGCAGACAGAUGGUCACUGAGCUUCAGCUGUACAUUGAAAGCAGCUGAGCAAUUGUUUAAGAUAUCUAUGUAGCCUAUUUUACAUCUCAGGUUUAGAAGUUCUGAAAUAAAAUUGAGACUGAAAGUAACAGAAACCAAGAUGACCUAAAAUGUACCAAACCUCAUUAGUUCUAUACACUUAUCAACAACCUCAAUAACCAUUGUUAUUAUCAGCACAAAAAUCAAUGCAGUUUACAAAGUGCAUGUUGCCUUAUAACAAAUUUGUCCUUUUAGGCAAUCUAAUCUGUUCUCAGGAAUUCAAUUGUCAUCUGUGUGGCAACGUCUCUUAAAAUCCCCCGUCUGUGACUUUGAUUUUAAAGCACAUUGUUCCUUAUCAGUUUAAUGCGAAGAAAUACUAAUCAUACUUGACAUGUCACUUUGAAAUCUUACCUUAUACAUAUUUACUGGAAAGUAAUGAUUUCACACAUUUAUUAAUCACAAAUAUGAACUCAUUAAAAUAGUGUGCCAGAACGAUGUUGAGCACAUUUCUUGAUGGCAAUCUCACAAUGUGGCUACAUUAUUUUGGUCUUUCUAAAGGACUCUGUAUUGGAAAGAGUUUCCAAUAUAUAUUACUUUUAGGAGUUCCACAUAUUUAUUGAUAAGUACGAUAGUGGAGCUAUUUACAGGAGGCAUUAUCUUUUAUAAUUUUAAAUUUCUCAAAUAAAAUUCAUCUAAAGAAUUAAAGCAAUUAAAUUAAUGGUCAGUGUCACUUCAGAACGUAUUGUUCUGGUCAAUUACGUCAUUCUAUGAAAAAUUAAAAUAUUUCAGUUGGCGAAGAUCAAGACAACAAAAACAACAACAAAUAAAUGUCUUCCCUUGAGCUAACCAAAUCCUAAUCAACUUCUAAAGCCCAUUUCAUUUCUCACUUCUUCCAUAUCUUCCGUAAUCACUUUCUUUAACCCACAAAGACUACUAACUUACUAGAAUUACAAUGAGUCUUACUGUCUAUACAACAAAUGUGGCACUUAAUAAAUACCCCCAUUAAACCUUCAUCUGAUGGAUAAUAUGUAGAUAUAGAAAUAUGUUGUGAUCCAAGCAAGGUAUUGUAGCUGUUUAGUAACAAAACUAGGACUACUAGAAUUUAGGAGGCUUCCUGUCAAGUUUAUUUCCACUACAGUCUACAUUCUCUGCCUACUGCUUCAUCCUUUAUUUCCUUUUGUAUUUGUUUUUGUCUCUCACAAUUAAAGCAUAAGAUCAUCGAGGGAACAAGGGUAGAGUGUGGAGUGAUCUUGGAAGGGUAUAUAAGGGAAGUAUCAGGCACUCUACGAGAAUGUUUUAUGUGUCAUUUAUUCUACUUGUUACAAUAACCUUGUAUCUCUCCCUAUUUUACAGGUGAGGAUCUGAAGCUCAGAGGAAUGAUGUUAGCUGCUCAAGGCCACAUAGAUGGCAAGCUGGACAGAUGGUCACUUUGGGAAAAUAAGUAGUAUUAUACUGUGUGUACUGUAAGUGAAACAAUAUGCUACUAUUGACCCCACUCCCUAAAGUAUUAAGAAAAUAUCCCCUUUUAUUUACAACACUUUCUUAUUCCUAAGAAAUGUCUUGUGAAAUUGCAAGUUGUUCAAAGCAUAAUAAUGAAGAAAUAGAGAAGGAAAUUUUAAUCCAAUAUUUAGUCUACAGCAACAAAGAAUAUUAAAAGGAUCUUUGAAGUAAAUGGAAUAGAGCAAUCCUUUUUGUCCUAAUUCACACCGUUGUUGGCAGUUGUGAGGUACAUUAGAUGCUCACCACAUUACGCUUCUAUUAUGGAGCUAGACCAUUAUUAAUAAAGGGAAAAAGAACAUAUUUGCUAAGAUUUCCAUUAAGUAAAUAGGUCUCAUGAAGGAAUGCAAGAGGACAUUUUUGCUAAUGCCUUUCAUUUUGUUUGUGAGAACGGAAAACAGGAUUUUUCUCAGUAUAGAAAUAAGUCAGCCAUGUGGUCUAUUGUUGCUUGCUUGCAUCAAGUGAUAGAAUGUCUCUCCUUCAGUCCUUAGUAAAUUUAGGCAUUUUCUUUGCCAACCAUUGGCUAUAGUAAGUUUUAUAGUAAGUUUUAAUUGGCUAUGUGAGUUUUAACAUUUUAAUUUGUUUACAAAAUAGUAUAAAUAUAUAUAUAUAUAUCUCCAUAUAUGUAUUGAACUCUAAAAUUAUUUUUUAAAUUUGUGCAAUAUAUAAUUGUAAACUACAUCAAGAUCUCUACUUUAAAUAUGAUGAUUUGAGCCAUUUUAAUCUUAAUAUUGAGGAAAUUUACAGUAUAAUUUUAAAUCACAUAGGACUUUUAAAAACUUUAAAUCAUUAUUGACUUUUACCAAACCCUCCCCAAAACUGUAUAAAAUAAGAGAGGAAAACUAAAAGGUCUUAAAUCUGGUGAUUUAGUUCUAGGAAAAAUUUAUACAUAAAAUGAACUGAGAAGAAUCUGAAAAUUUGCAGAAGAUACCAAUUCCCCAAAUUACAUAUUUUCUAUCCAGACUAGUUCUUGCUCCCACAUAAAAAUCUUGCUCCAGUAAGAGCGGGGGUACCAUAAAUCAUAGGCUCUAAAUAUGGAAGAAACCUAAUUAUCUACCACACCCCCACUCUAUUCAAGUUUUGCUACAGAACAUUUUUCUUACAAGGCAAAUGCUAAAUGUCUCAGCACAUAGCCUUGCAGCUAAAAAAAAUGUUUUUAACAAUGUCACUAAGAGUUCAGUACAAAAAAAAUCAUUAUCUUUUCAGUCAAGCUUUCUGUUUUGUGCAAUAUCCUGAGACACUCAAAAAACAUAUUGUAGGAAUAAAAUAUACAUGAGCCUUUGAAACCAGAGUUUGAAAAAAUAACUUGAACUUACUACCUAUUUAUCUCAUAAAAAUGAAUAAUUUGUAAAAUGUAGCUAUAUUAAUAUUUAAGUAUAUACGUAUGUAUAUCAACUUAUUCAAAUGUUUUAAUCCUGAAAAACUGUACUCGGAAUAGAUAGGAAGUUUAUUAACAAAAUCUUGUUUUAAAAGCUAUAGGCAAGAUGACACUAACAGAGAAUCUUAGCUUGAAUUUUGAAAAGGAUAAAGAAUGUAACUUUUUAAAAAUAUAUACGUGCACAUUUUAAUAUUUCCAUAUGAAAUAAAAGAAGGGAAGAAUAAAGAUAAAGAAACAAAUUAGGAGGCUAAUGCAAUCAUUCACAUGAAAAAGUAAUGACUACCUGUCUAUGCAUGUAAUCUAAUCUAAUCUAGGCAAUCUAAUCUGUUCUCAGGAAUUCAGUUGUCAUCUGUGUGGCAACGUCUCUUAAAAUCCCCCGUCUGUGACUUUGAUUUUAAAGCACAUUGUUCCUUUUCAGGAACAAUAUUUUCCUAGCUUGUCUUGA